GCAUUAGUGGUUCAGUGGUAGAAUUACUCAUUGCCAUUCAGUAAUUCCUGGUUCGAUUCCCGGUUAAUGCA
rnacentral:tRNA from 1 species